CCACCUCCUUGCUCUGUCCGUGGCCCUGUUGGGGUUUGGGGUCUUCUCCCUCGUGGGGUCAUAGGCGCUGGGACCCACCUGCCCAGACGAACACCGGCCGGCUAUAAGCCGCACCCUGUCCGGCAGCUGAUAAUCAGCACUAUGGCUCAGCUCAGGAGAGUCAGCUCCGCGGUGUUGACAGCCCCUGGGGGCGGGGGCGCAGGGCUCUCCUGGGCGGCUUCCAUCUGGGGAGCUCUUCUCCGCCCCCCGGCCCCGGCCUCCGCUUCCUCCUCAGAGGGGGGAGGGGGGAAAAAGCCCUACCGAUUACACACGCCUCUACAUAUAAGCCAAUACAUCACUGCCCACAGCGACCCCCAUUUUCAGAAGAGCUUGCACUGACUGGGGACCGUGAUUCUUCGCGGCAGGAGAGCCCCCACAUUUCUGUUGCAAAUGGAGACUCUUGGCAUGUCUGAUACACCUGGAAAUACGGAUCCUCUUCUUCUUUGGCUUCCAUGGUCUUUGAUUUAAGGUUCUCUACCGAUUCUACGUCCCAAGAGCCUAUCUCUGCGUUGGAACUCCCAGCCCUGCUGCCUGCACUUUCCUCUUUCCUUUUUUUCCAUCUGUGGCCCAGAAAAUUUGGGAUACUCAAAGAUUCGAUGAUCAAGCAUCAGGGUUUAGUUUGGGGAUAGAACUCCCCAGCUUCACCUUUGGAAAAGAAAAAAAUAAAUAAAAAUCCCAUCAAAUUUGUACCCUUAACAAGUACAAA